GAGCUAUUGAGAAUAAGUUUGAAAGACAACUGCAGAUGACACAAGGGAUUUCGGUAAUCAAGGGGUUGGGUUCCCUCAGGGCCUAAUCCAAAAAGAAGAUAAACAAAACUGCUGAUUCAAGUACAAAUCAUUUUGCUUAAUGAAAGAUGCUUGACGUCUCAGAUCCAAUUAAUAUGCAAAUGCAAGUGAGGAUUUAUUUGUGACAUUCUGUAUGGUGCAUCAUGUCUUGUUUUGGUGUGAUGAGACCAGUGCCACCUCCUACAGUUUGUCUAAAAAGGAAAGCACAUGUACUACAUGUUCCCCAUUGGACAACCUUUAACCAUUUUAUGUAGCAUUGAGCGGAGCGAUGAUUUAGUGCACCCCAAUCGAGGAACACUUCCGGAGCUGUAAAAACAACAAUCAGCCUCUUUGGAUUAAAAGGCCAUAUGUCCUUUAACAACAACCAAAAAAAAAGAUGCUGACUAGCAGUAGGGUGGGCAAAAUAAAAUGAUCCACUGACAUCGCCUCUAAUGCUUUUAAUCUUCUUGUGAUAUCUUUAUAGCUUUUAACCUUGCUUUGUAAGGCAGACAAAUCUCCCUGCUUGGCUCAGUGUUAGUUCCAAGAACAGUAUUGGGAUUCGGAUUUGGAAGUAUCUGAGUUGUUUUGCCAUGGACAUGAAACUGUCAUGGUUCUGAUAAUAUAAAGUGUAACUGUAAUAUCUUUACAUUAUCUUACUUCAUAUUAUCGAUGCCAGUUUUAGACCUGAUGGAAACUGCAACAAAUGCAGCUUAGUUUUUCUGUGAAAUUACAGUUCUUCAGAGAUAUACUGGCUCCGUGGAAAGACAUGCUUAAGUCUCCCUUCUUGCUCAACAUCAUAAAACAAACAGUAGGGUUGGUAAUUGGUGUUUUUGCUGCAAUGGCUCACAAUAGUAAUUUAUGCAAAACGUCUUGAGAACAUUUGCAGAGUAUUCCCAUUGUCAUCUGCAAAUGUUUGCUGUAUCUUGUGGUCUAGGGCAAAAUUUUAACCAAAAUUCAAUUCAAAAGUUUCAUUUUAGUACACAAAUGACAAUUUAUAACUCGUUCCAACAGGAAUGUAAUAAAUUACACUGUUAUACACAUGGGGUGAAACAUACUGUACAAAGAGACUCUUAUGCGAGC